rnacentral:rRNA from 1 species
UACAGAGACUGCAAGCGUUAUUCGGAUUUACUGGGCUUAAAGAGUUCGUAGGCGGUUCGGUAAGUGAGGUGUGAAAGCCCUCGGCUCAACCGAGGAAUUGCGCUUCAAACUGCCGGGCUCGAGGGAGAUAGAGGUGAGCGGAACUGAUGGUGGAGCGGUGAAAUGCGUUGAUAUCAUCAGGAACACCAGAGGCGAAGGCGGCUCACUGGGUCUCUUCUGACGCUGAGGAACGAAAGCUAGGGGAGCAAACGGG